rnacentral:rRNA from 2 species
AACGUACCGAAAGGUACACUAAUACCGCAUGAGACCCCGGCAGCGCAUGCUGCAGAGGUCAAAGGAGCAAUCCGGUGUAAGAUGGACUCGCGUCCGAUUAGAUAGUUGGUGAGGUAACGGCCCACCAAGUCAGCGAUCGGUAGCCGACCUGAGAGGGUGAUCGGCCACAUUGGAACUGAGAGACGGUCCAAACUCCUACGGGAGGCAGCAGUGGGGAAUAUCGGGCAAUGGGGGAAACCCUGACCCAGCGACGCCGCGUGAGGGAAGAAGGUUUUCGGAUUGUAAACCUCUGUUCUUGGUGAAGAGAAGAAGACGGUAGCCAAGGAGGAAGCCCCGGCUAACUACGUGCCAGCAGCCGCGGUAAUACGUAGGGGGCGAGCGUUGUCCGGAAUGAUUGGGCGUAAAGGGCGCGUAGGCGGCUGAUUAAGUCUGGAGUGGAAGUCCUAUUUUCAAGGUAGGAAUUGCUUUGGAAACUGAUCAGCUUGAGUGCAGGAGAGGUUAUCGGAAUUCCCGGUGUAGCGGUGAAAUGCGUAGAGAUCGGGAGGAACACCAGUGGCGAAGGCGGGUAACUGGACUGCAACUGACGCUGAGGCGCGAAAGUGUGGGGAGCAAACAGGAUUAGAUACCCUGGUAGUCCACACUGUAAACGAUG